GGGCCAUUAGCUCAACAGUAGAGCAAGCGCCUCUUAAGCGCGAGGCUGAGGGUGCAAGUCCCCCAUGGCCCA
rnacentral:tRNA from 1 species